CCCCGGCGCUCGUCCGGGUCUGGUGGGUGCUCUCCUCACUCCCCGACGAGAUCCUUGAUUGGUGAUCCCAGCUCUUCGUGCUCGCCUCGCCCCGCUCCGCCGUGUCAGCCAAACGAUGGAAGAUGGAGUAGGGAUCGGGAGAGGAACAAGGAGUAAGAGGAGACCACUUGCUGGUGGCCAGAGAACCACAUCCCCAGCGCCAUGCUCCUGAGUCCGCUUCUACUGCCUCCAGUCGGAAUACCUACCUACAACAGCAAGGCUCUUUCAUUUCAUAUAUGGACGGCAAGGGCGUCUUCAGCAGCGUCUAAACAGGAUUCGACUGCCCACUCGAUGCCAAGGGAGAUGCAUCGCUGUCGCCGUCAAGGGACUCAACCAGCGCGGCCUCCAGGUGUUCAUGUUAUUUCUUCGCUUCUUUUUGGUGUUGUGCUGCCCCGUUGAGAGCCGACAGGAAGAAUAGGAAGCAGAGUCCGUAGGUCAUGGCUUUGUGCAGCUAGCUAGCAUGAAUAACCGUGUGUCUGAUGCUUAGCCAAGCAGUGUUCCAUUCAUCUAUAAAUAGAUCGAGUGGUACUUUCAUUACUUAGGUGAGAAGUGUUUCAUUCAUUUGAAACUCAAGAUUUGAUAGUGGCACCCUCAAAGAGAUAGCGUUGCAUGUGCAUAACUCACAAUUUGACAAAUAAUUCCCUAUAUUUAUUUGUUUCUUUCUUAUUCAUAUUUCUGGUUCCUGAACUGAACCUCUAUCAUUUUCGACACAUUAGGAGCAAUGUUUUCAAGGCGGUAAGGCGAGGCAAGGCGAUGGGGGGGCGCCUCACCGCCUAAGCGGUAAGGCAUAAGGCAAGGCGGACGCCUUAGAGAGUUCUAAGCAGUAGAAUGAAGUAGAAUUUGGUAGGCAACUAGGCAUACACACUACACAUCUUGCACUUGCUGCUGGUUGUAGAGCCUAUAUAGGAUCCAUCCUCUUUGCACAUUCUCUUCUCCCCAACAGUAAUCAUGCAUUAUUCUAACCAUCCAGGAUCCACUAACCACUAUAAGAGAGGUAGUGAGCAACCAGCAAAGCAGCUAGCACAAAGCAGUGAGCAACCAGCAAAGCAGGAAGCAAUGAACAACUGAAAAACAGCAAGCAACGAACAACUUAACAUGGAAGAAACAGAGCAGAGGAGGGUGGGGGAGAA